AUGGCGUCCGACGGCAGCGGCGGCUCGUGGGCGACGAGCCUGAGCACGCCGGAGACCGACGAGCUCAUCCGUCUCGGGAUAAUGGUGCCGCCGGGCUGCCGUCUGCCGCACGCGUUCCACAUCACCGCCGACGGGUACCCGACUAGGGGGCUCGGCGCGUCGCCGGAUGAGCUCCGCCGGCACGAGGGCGGCCGGUGGAACAUCGUCGGCCGUGCUCAGUUUUGGAAAGGCAAAGAUUACUGGAACGUCCGUCGCGCAGGCUCGUUGGGAGUCGCGGACCGGUGGCUCGUCGUCUGGCCCGGGCGGCUCGUCGUCUGCCCCGCGCGGCUCGUCUUCUGCCCCGCGCCGGCGCCGCCGUCCCCCUCCGGCGGCCGCGCCGUCUCCAAGCUCGUCCCGCUGUCCGGUUCCCACCCUUGCCCGGCCCGCCUCCCCUCCCGUCGUCGAGAUCCCGCCGGAGCAGUUCGCACUGCGCGAGGACGGCGACCCCGACGACUGCCCCGGCUACCUCAUCGCACUGCGGGCGUCGCAGGCAGAAUCUGCGGCCGCGGCGGCGGCCGCGGAGGCGAGAGAGGCGGCCGAGCUGCAGGCCGCACUCGACGCUGCGACGGCUAUGGUGGCGGCAGCAGAGGCCGCCGAGCUGUAGGCCGCACUGGAUGCGGCGGCGGCCAUCAAAGCGGUGCAGCCGCAGGUGGCUCCAGAGGAGGACGACGGCAGCAAGAGCAGCGACGACAGCGAUGGUGA
rnacentral:rRNA from 1 species